rnacentral:rRNA from 1 species
GAGUGGCGAACUGGUGAGUAACACGUGGGAAACCUGCCCAGAAGCGGGGGAUAACACCUGGAAACAGAUGCUAAUACCGCAUAACAACUUGGACCGCAUGGUCCGAGCUUGAAAGAUGGCUUCGGCUAUCACUUUUGGAUGGUCCCGCGGCGUAUUAGCUAGAUGGUGGGGUAACGGCUCACCAUGGCAAUGAUACGUAGCCGACCUGAGAGGGUAAUCGGCCACAUUGGGACUGAGACACGGCCCAAACUCCUACGGGAGGCAGCAGUAGGGAAUCUUCCACAAUGGACGAAAGUCCUGAUGGAGCAACGCCGCGUGAGUGAAGAAGGGUUUCGGCUCGUAAAACUCUGUUGUUAAAGAAGAACAUAUCUGAGAGUAACUGUUCAGGUAUUGACGGUAUUUAACCAGAAAGCCACGGCUAACUACGUGCCAGCAGCCGCGGUAAUACGUAGGUGGCAAGCGUUGUCCGGAUUUAUUGGGCGUAAAGCGAGCGCAGGCGGUUUUUUAAGUCUGAUGUGAAAGCCUUCGGCUCAACCGAAGAAGUGCAUCGGAAACUGGGAAACUUGAGUGCAGAAGAGGACAGUGGAACUCCAUGUGUAGCGGUGAAAUGCGUAGAUAUAUGGAAGAACACCAGUGGCGAAGGCGGCUGUCUGGUCUGUAACUGACGCUGAGGCUCGAAAGUAUGGGUAGCAAACAGGAUUAGAUACCCUGGUAGUCCAUACCGUAAACGAUGAAUGCUAAGUGUUGGAGGGUUUCCGCCCUUCAGUGCUGCAGCUAACGCAUUAAGCAUUCCGCCUGGGGAGUACGGCCGCAAGGCUGAAACUCAAAGGAAUUGACGGGGGCCCGCACAAGCGGUGGAGCAUGUGGUUUAAUUCGAAGCUACGCGAAGAACCUUACCAGGUCUUGACAUACUAUGCAAAUCUAAGAGAUUAGACGUUCCCUUCGGGGACAUGGAUACAGGUGGUGCAUGGUUGUCGUCAGCUCGUGUCGUGAGAUGUUGGGUUAAGUCCCGCAACGAGCGCAACCCUUAUUAUCAGUUGCCAGCAUUAAGUUGGGCACUCUGGUGAGACUGCCGGUGACAAACCGGAGGAAGGUGGGGAUGACGUCAAAUCAUCAUGCCCCUUAUGACCUGGGCUACACACGUGCUACAAUGGAUGGUACAACGAGUUGCGAACUCGCGAGAGUAAGCUAAUCUCUUAAAGCCAUUCUCAGUUCGGAUUGUAGGCUGCAACUCGCCUACAUGAAGUCGGAAUCGCUAGUAAUCGCGGAUCAGCAUGCCGCGGUGAAUACGUUCCCGGGCCUUGUACACACCGCCCGUCACACCAUGAGAGUUUGUAACACCCAAAGUCGGUGGGGUAACCUUUUAUAGAG